AAGGUAGGCAGCAGGCGCGUAAAUUACCCAAUCCUGACAGAGGGAGGUAGUGAACAAUAAAUAACAAUGAAAUUUAUGGAAAGUAAGUUGAAUUGGAAUGAGAACAAUAUAAAACCCUUAUCGAGGAACAAUUUCAGGGCAAGUUCUGGUGCCAGCAGCCGCGGUAAUUCCAGCUGAAAAAGCGUAUACGAAUAUUGUUGCAGUUAAAACGCUCGUAGUUGGAAAGAAUAAGUUUUAUUUUUUCUUUUUUGUACUUAAAAAAAAAAAUAAAUUUAUUUUAAUAGAAUUCAAAAAAAUGGAAAUUUUUUUGAAUAAAUUACUUUGAAUAAAUUAGAGUGCUUUAAGCAAAUUAUUUUUUUAUCAACAAAAAAAAUAAAAUGUUUGAAUAAUUUAGCAUAGAAUAAUUGAAUAAGAUUUGAAAGAUAAAUAUUUUGGUAAUUAUAAUUUAAAUAAUGAUAAAUAGGAAUAGUUGGGGGGUG
rnacentral:rRNA from 1 species